rnacentral:rRNA from 1 species
AAUGCCGCGUGUGUGAAGAAGGCCUUCGGGUUGUAAAGCACUUUCAAUAGGGAGGAAAAGCUGUGCGUUAAUAGCGUAUAGCCGUGACGUUACCUAUAUAAGAAGCACCGGCUAACUCCGUGCCAGCACCUUCGGUGACUGAGCGGGCUGGCAAGGCGCAUA